rnacentral:lncRNA from 1 species
AAGUAUUCUCUGGUUAUAUAAGGAUGAGCUGAGGGAAAAACCUCUCAUCCUUUAGGUAGAGCUUAGAACGAAAGGGUAAGCACUGAGAUGCCCUUGUUAAGGUUAGUUUCGCAGCCUUACUUCCAUGAGAGCAGAUUUGUUAGUUGAGUAACAAAAAUCGUAAAGCUUUGUUGUAUGAUUCUAGUGUUCAAGUGAGAAAAGAAAUGAACUAGAUGGAAAGAUCUUGACGAGUGUUCUCUGGUUUGACAUUUAGGGGUUGUUGAUCUACUCGAAUGAAACCUAGUUCUGAAGUUUGAAGCUGCAAAAGGUGAGGAUUAUGUGAGGAUCUCGUGAGGGUCCUAUGAGUACCUCGCGAAUCUCUAACUAAUCUCUUUAUGUAUACAUAUGUUUGUAUGUUUAUAUAUUGAUAUCUCUAUGACUGUUUGUGAAAUGAGAAAGAAAGGUAUGCAAAUGUAAUAUGUCGGUUCUAUGAAUAUGAACGCUUGAUAGACUUGCAUGUGAUGUUUGCGUAAUGUUAUGCACAUUUGUUUAGAAAAAUAAAUGUGUGCACAAUGAAUGUGUAAAGAAGAUGUGAGCCUAAUGAUAUGUUUCUUCUCCAUAAAAGAAUGUGUAAACGUAAAGAAUUCACAUGAAAGUAUGUUUCUAUCCGCUAUAAGUAUGUACAUGCAUAAACAUGCCUAAAGCAUGAUGGGGUCUCUGCAUGAGGAGUUUGUGCAUGAGUUACAUAAGUCUGCAUGUUGAGUCUACUUGUAUGUGCGAGUUCAUUGGGACAAUAAACACGAAUUAUGAUAUGGAAGUCCAUGGCCAUGGCAAGUAAAGACCAUAUAGUGUAAGACCCAGUAUGGGACUAUGGCAUCAUGUGAAAAUGAAGAAAAAGACAGUUGGGCAAGUACCAAGUGAUGAUGGGCAAACCUCAUGAUGAUAAGUUUAAGCAAAUCUCUAUUAUCGAAAACAUCAUUACCUAAAAGUGAUGCUUUUGUGGCUGAAUCUGUUAUAUAUAAGCCUAUGUGGCUGAAUCUAUUAUAUAUAAUCCUUAAUGGCAGAAUAUGUUAUAUGUGGAAGGUUUUGUAGAUCUUCUCUUUUAUAUGUGAGCCUUUGUAGUGAAAUCAUCAUUGAGAAGCCUUUGUGAUUGAUUUUGUUAUAAGAAGAGCCUUCGUAGCUGAUUCUGUUGAAAGCGUCCUUGCGGUAAAGUCUAUUGUAUGUAUCUGGAUGCCCUUGUGGUUAUUUAAUAAUAUGUGGAUGCGCUAUCUAUUAAUGUAUGGAUGGCUCUAUGGCUAUCUAAGUCAAGUGGAUGCCUUCGUGGCUAUUUGUUGAUCAAACGAGUGUCUAAAGCUUCCUGAGAUAAGGGAAGACAUCUAAAGUCAAUAAUAUGCUUUAGUGGCAUAGUUUGUGAAAUGACUUCGGGACAAAGAUUCAAUGACAAUGCCAAAGUGGUGGACUCUAAAUAAAGAGAAACUGUCUGGCUUGAAACAACGAAAGAAUGGUGAGAAAUACAUGAUGAUGAGAAGCGAAUGUAAUUUUCCUUGACCACCGAUAGAAAGGUGAAAUAGAAAGUAAGUUACCAGUACAACUCGUAAGUAAGUCUUGUGAUAACGAAAGAGGUAAGAUUGUUUACACAAUAUGAAGGAAUACAAGGUAUGUAGAUAUUUAAUACAAGUUCUUUCUGAGUUUGAUGAAUACAUGUCUAGUUCCAUAGAGUAAAGUGCAAUGUUUAUAUUUUAUAUGAAAUGAUGAAUAACUAUAUGAUAAUGCCUCACUAAGUUUUUGUGAACAUUGUAGGAUCUGUUAGAAAGAUGAGAGACGAGAGACGGCUAUGCUAUAGGAGCGGCAGUUCUUGUUGAUAUACAUAUAGAGAAGAGAAAUAUUAUAGCGGAGUAAUGGUCUAUGCCUAAGGAAAAGUUAAGAGAGUCAUACGUUAUACGAGAAGCCUUAUGACUAAGUUUAAGUCUGGGCAUAAGUUAUAGAAAUCUACAUAUGUACGAAGUACAGUGAAACAAAAUCGAUGGUAUUCAUAGUUAUUCAAAAUGUAAAAGUACAACGUAUGUAAAGACAUUCGUAAUAAGAAUACAUUAGGUAAUUCAAUAAACAAAAGUAGAAAUUUUUAUUAAGUCAUUGCUCAUCUAGUACAUAGGCGAAUAGAAGAGUCUAGGUCACAUUUGUUUUAGGAAGUAACACCCAAUACUCGGAUCUGGUUGAUCGAGUCGGGUGGAGAGCAUUACAAUACGUCUAAAGUUAACUUGGUUUGGUUAGUCUUGUGAUGAAAUUGAAUGAAGUUUAAGGGACGUUUCCUGAAAGAAAGUAUGUAACUGUAUUUCUAAAGAGGGAAUCCACCAUAGUAGUUUGCCAAUAUAGGAUAUGGGCGUAUUCAUAAUUAUGAAAGGUAUAAGUGUUCUUUGGUCUAAGUUUGUCUACUCUAUGUAGGGUUGAAAUAUGAGUUAUUUGGUAUCUGCCAUAUUUGAAUAGUAUCAUGUCUCGUUCUUGGGUUAUUUGGAAUUUGAGACGUUUGUCAAUUGGAGUGUUCUUGUGUUAUGUAACAUAGAUGUUUGGAAUUAUUCUAAAUGAUCUGGAACAUUUCAUCAUCAAUAUGAGUUUGUUUUGGGUUUGAAUCGAGAUAUUAUUUGAUUGGUAGUUGGAUAAUUAUCAAACUUAGUAUGAGAAUCCACCAAAUGUAAGACUAGUUAGUAAGUAUCCGUCGAGGAAUAAUAUUUGUGAACAACCAUUCUGGGGAAAAUGUUAAAUGUUUGUUUGAAGAGGAAAUCCAUUGAAAUUAGGCUUUGUAUAAAUAUUCUUUUAAGAAGUACCUUCAUUAUUCUAAGAGAAAAGAAUAUAUAUAUCGUUUGGUAAGAUUGGAGUUAGCCAAGUAGUGAAGUGAGAGUUGAUAUGUUAAGUAUGGCAGUUGACAUAUAAGUAUAUACCUGAUAUUAUGAAUGUAUCCGCCAAAGACCGAGUAGUAAUCUAAAAUCUUCAAGAUGAGGAAUUCAAAUAGAAAGGCCCUAAGGUAUUUUGUAUUAAAGCUCACUAAGUUCGCGUGAACUUACAAGCGUUUUGUUCAUGUUUCAGGUGUUGCUGUAAGAAUGGGUAUGCCAGGAGAGACCAAGCCAAGAAUGUGCCAGAGAAGCAGCGAGUUGAGUUAUUAUGCAUACAGAGGAUAUUUUAGAAAUAUGUCGUAUAGUACAUUACACUAAGAAAAGUCUGUCUUUAACAAUCUUUUGUAUUGUGAUGAAUUAUAAUACUUUUGUUCUUAAGAGUUUGUUGUAUUCCUGAAUGUUUUCCUAAUUUCUUUUGUUCAGAAACCUUUAUUAAAAUAAUAUGAAGCAUGCUGAAAAAGGAUUAUAAGCAGAU